GCGGCGGUAGCCAAGCCAGGUCAAAAGGUAGUGACCAAAGGCGAAGGACUCAAGAUCCUUUCCCAUAGGGGUUCGCUGGUUCGAAUCCGGCCCGCCGCACCA
rnacentral:tRNA from 1 species